GCAUCUUUCCCACCCAAGGCCACCAUGAUGGAAAGGUUGCAUGUCAGAAUUCCCAGAACCCAGCUGAGGCCAGCCUUUCAGUCUCCUCACCUUGACACCAAAUAUGGAAAUGAAGAAUCUUCCAUGUGAUGGAGACCUCCUGCUCUGUAAUCACCCCAAGUUUAGAUCAUUCCAACAAAGUGUCCAGAUUUUCAGCAGUAUCGAUAAGCCAUCUGUGGGGUAUCCUGGCUGAAUUCUAGAUCUAUACAAUCUAUACAGAACCUGGGAUGUGGAAUCCGAAGAGGCCUAGGACAAAUUGUGCUGUCAACUAUGUAUUUGCCAGAAAAUAUAGUAGCAACCAACCUUUGUAGAAGAGCUAGCGACUUCACUUAGUAGCCAAUGAAAACUUGGGCACAUGUGUGAUGAUUUGACUUAUGUUAAUGAAAUUGCCAGGGUCUCAAUUUGCA